rnacentral:tRNA from 1 species
GUAAGUAUAGUUUAACCAAAAUAUUAGAUUGUGAUUCUAAAGACAGGAGUUAGAACCUCCUUACUCACC